GACGAACGCUGGCGGCGUGCUUAACACAUGCAAGUCGAACGAUGAAGCUGGAGCUUGCUCCGGUGGAUUAGUGGCGAACGGGUGAGUAACACGUGAGCAAUCUGCCCUUGACUCUGGGAUAACUGCGGGAAACUGUAGCUAAUACCGGAUACUUUCACUGGAAGGCAUCUUCUGGUGAAGAAAGAAUUUCGGUCAAGGAUGAGCUCGCGGCCUAUCAGCUGGGUGGGGAGGUAACGGCUCACCAAGGCGACGACGGGUAGCCGGCCUGAGGGGGUGACCGGCCACAGUGGGACUGAGACGCGGCGCAGUCCGGUACGGGAGGCCGCAGUGGGGAAUAUUGAACGAUGGGGGGGAGCCGGAUGCACCAACGCCGCGUGAGGGAGGACGGCGUUCGGGUUGUAACCCUCUUUUAGUAGGGAAGAAGCGAAAGUGACGGUACCUGAAGAAAAAGCACCGGCUAACUACGUGCCAGCCGCCGCCGUAA
rnacentral:rRNA from 1 species